AGUGAACGCUGGCGGUAGGCCUAACACAUGCAAGUCGAACGGCAGCACAGUAAGAGCUUGCUCUUACGGGUGGCGAGUGGCGGACGGGUGAGGAAUACAUCGGAAUCUACUUUUUCGUGGGGGAUAACGUAGGGAAACUUACGCUAAUACCGCAUACGACCUACGGGUGGAAGCAGGGGAUCUUCGGACCUUGCGCGAUUGAAUGAGCCGAUGUCGGAUUAGCUAGUUGGCGGGGUAAAGGCCCACCAAGGCGACGAUCCGUAGCUGGUCUGAGAGGAUGAUCAGCCACACUGGAACUGGGACACGGUCCAGACUCCUACGGGAGGCAGCAGUGGGGAAUAUUGGACAAUGGGCGCAAGCCUGAUCCAGCCAUACCGCGUGGGUGAAGAAGGCCUUCGGGUUGUAAAGCCCUUUUGUUGGGAAAGAAAAGCAGCAGGUUAAUACCCCGCUGUUCUGACGGUACCCAAAGAAUAAGCACCGGCUAACUUCGUG
rnacentral:rRNA from 1 species